AUUGAACGCUGGCGGCAGGCUUAACACAUGCAAGUCGAGCGAGCGGCGGACGGGUGAGUAAUGUCUGGGAAACUGCCUGAUGGAGGGGGAUAACUACUGGAAACGGUAGCUAAUACCGCAUACCAUCAGAUGUGCCCAGAUGGGAUUAGCUAGUAGGUGGGGUAAUGGCUCACCUAGGCGACGAUCCCUAGCUGGUCUGAGAGGAUGACCAGCCACACUGGAACUGAGAAACGGGCCAGACUCCAAGGGGAGGCGGCAUUGGGGAAUAUUGCACAAUGGGCGAAAGCCUGAGGCAGCCAGGCCGCGGGUGUGAAGAAGGCCUUCGGUUUGUAAAGCACUUUCAGCGGGGAGGCGUUACUCGCAGAAGAAGCACCGGCUAACUCCGUGCCAGCAGCCGCGGUAAUUC
rnacentral:rRNA from 1 species